UGGGGAGGACUGUUAUAGUCUAUUAUACAGCAUACUCAUUUUUAUUGCCAGGUGUAACUUAUUUCACAAUUAAUUGGUUGACGAUUUAUGAAUAAUCAAUCUGAGUUCAGUAUGGCUUCGACAGAGAGAAAUUAAGCAGGUGGUUGAAAAACACAGAGGAAGUUACCAAAAUCAUUAAGGCCGACUAUAAAGUUCAUGAUGCUAGAAGCAGGAUUAAGGGUCAGAACAUGGAAGCCACUGGAGAAUACAAAGAAAAAAGCCGAAGUGUUUUCCCUCAAAGAGAUUACAGUUUUCCCAGGAAGACAUGUACAUAUGAAGAUCUAUAUGAAAU